rnacentral:rRNA from 1 species
AGCAAUUAGAAGAAGUCGUCGAAGGUGGAAUCAAUAACUGGGGUGAAGUCGUAACAAGGUAGCCGUAUCGGAAGGUGCGGCUGGAUCACCUCCUUUCUAAGGAGA